GUCCCCGCUGCAGAUCCGGAUCCCUGGGUGCUCCAGCUUGGGUUCGCCUGCGUCCGGCUCUUUGUUGGCCCUGCACCUCUAAGGAUAUCUUACUCUUUUUCGCUCGCGCGUCGAAUCCCUGGCCUCCCUUACUCAUCCCUGGCCUCCCUUACUCAUCCCUGGCCUCCCUUACUCAUCCCUCAUCUCCCUUACCUCUUCCACUCAUCCUACAUCCACACCCUAGUAGAACUGGCCCAUGGAGGGCCCUGGGAUUUAUUGUAGGAGAUUAAAAAGACAGUGUGACUAAACAAAAGAAGGAGAAAAGCAGGCAACCAUUCAUUCACUUGCUGCUGCCAUAUGACUGCAACUGGCUUGCCCUGAGUCCAGACCCUCUGCGAGGGCACAAGUCAUUUAAAGGCACGGGAGACCACAUGUGAAGAGGAGGAGUCUUGAGCUGGGCCUUAAAAGAUAUGGUCAAGUGGGAACACAUAUGCUCCCUACUGAGGAAAAUAAACUGCAAUGUAUUUUUAGCAUCCGUUGGAAGUACUUUCAGCUGAAGAUCGUCUGCAGGAUCUAGGCAAUUUCACUGAGAGUCAAAGGAUUUGCAGCAAUGUUACCUAGAAUUCCAGAACUUGCCCCAGGGGUCUGUAAAUAGCAUUCUCCCCGAACCCAUCACACCACCCCCAAUCCUGGUGCAAACAUCCUCUUUAUGAGAAAAUGGAGGAAAAUCAUUCCAGUGAAGGAUAAAUGAAAAACAUGUUAAGUAGUUACGACAAAUGAAACUAACCAUAGCUCACUUGGCACUUUGAGCACCAGGUGGGGAGGAUGGGGAGCAGAGUUUGUUCCCCCCAAAUUUAGUGCCUCAGGUGGAAGGUAAGCCAUGGACAGGGAGCCACCAUAUGGUGUGCCUUUGUGAAAAGUGGAACAGUGCACCACCCUGCUAGACCUAGGAGAAUCAUGUGGUUUCAGCUUCUGGUCCCUGCCUCCAAGGGUGGUAUGUGC
ensembl:lncRNA